GAUUUCGCCUCUGGGCCCUGGCGUCCCUUCACAGACCACCACGCUAGUGCGUGCCCCUGUCGGAGCUCAGAUGGAACAAGUCGCCAUCUCUUCCUUCAGAAUUCCUAUUCUAGGAGCUGGCCCCCAACUACGACUCCGUGAAAAGAGAGCCCUUGGGUGCCACAACUUUUGACUAGUGGCGAAAAAACCCAUCAGAUGCCCUCGCAGGCCAGAACAUCCUAACCCGAGGACCCAGCCAUCCUGGGAGUAGGGACGGAGGUCAGUGAGGACCUCCCUGGGAAAGUGAGCUGAACAGUGGCUUGAAGAGGAAGAGUCGGGUGCAUGUCUUGGGGCAUGCAAUAGCAAGAAGCUGGAUGAGAAGAGGAGUAGACUGGAGUCAACCAGGCACUCUGAUAUGGGAUGCAGGCAUCCUAAGUAGUGCUGUAACUGCUGCACAAAAUGCCCGUUCCAGCACCUGGCCUUUGAAAAGAAGCAACAUUUCAGACGUUAGAUAAGGGACAUCCCAAGGUCUGGCCCGGCAAGACAAGCCUGGCAGGUAAUCUUAAGGACUUUUUUUUUUUUUUUAAACCCUGUCAUAGUGCUGAGGAUGACCUCCAGGAACACCUGCGGCAGCUGGAGGGCAAGAUGAUGGUUAUGUCCAAGAUGGUUGCAGUCACGUCAAGCUAAAUCCCCAGUCUCCCUAGGAAUUCAGCAUCUCAUCAGGUCCCACUGGUUAGAAUGAUCCUGUUCUGACCCCUGAUCAUAUGAUACUAGUAUGUGCAUUUUUCCUUUUUAGAUCUUACACAGAUGGUAUUAAAUGUAGUCUUUAUGGUUA